rnacentral:rRNA from 1 species
GACGAACGCUGGCGGCGUGCCUAAUACAUGCAAGUUGAGCGCUGAGGGUUGGUACUUGUCCCAACUGGAUGAGCAGCGAACGGGUGAGUAACGCGUGGGUAAUCUGCCUUUGAGCGGGGGACAACAUCUGGAAACGAAUGCUAAUACCGCAUAAAAUCUUUAAACACAAGUUUUAAUAUUGAAAGAUGCAAUUGCUUCACUCAAUGAUUAUCCCGCGUUGUCUUAGGUAGUUGGUGAGGUAAAGGCUCACCAAGGCGAUGAUACAUAGCCGACCUGAGAGGGUGGUCGGCCAAAAUGGGACUGAGAAACGGCUCAAAAUCCUAAGGGAGGGAGCAGUAGGGAAUUUUCGGGAAUGGACGGAAGUCUGAACGGGGAAAGCCGCGGGGGUGGAGGAGGGUUUCGGAUCGUAAAACUCUGUUGGUAGAGAAGAAAGUUGGUGGGAGUGGAAAGCGCAUCAAGUGACGGUAACUACCCAGAAAGGGACGGCUAACUACGUG